UGUCUCAAGGUAGUUAUUCUAAAAUUUAUACUUUUCAAUACUGGACUAAUUUGUGCAUUUACUAGCCAAUAUGCUUAGGUGAACAUAUCGCCCAUUGGCCACUUGUUUAUUUUAGAAAUCUUCUCACUUGGUAUGAAGUGCCAAUGAUCCCCUUUUGGUGUCUGUUUUUAUCUUUUUAAGCAGAAUAAUGUUAGGGUUGAACAGGAUCCUGAAGUGAGGAAGACUCCCUCUCCCAUUGAACUGCAGACAUCAGCAGAAAGCAGAAUUUCAGUUCCUCUAUAAUUCAGAAGAGGAACAACAAUGGAGGACCAAGGUCAUUAAUAUAAGAAGAGUCUAUUCCUGUCUGUGUUUUGAAGGCAUUGUGUUUCAAAAGUGCAGAAGAAAGUUAAGACUGACUAGGAAUUCUAAGUGAGGAAGAGUCCCUCUCCCGUUCCGCUGCAGCCAUGAGCAGAAUAUUUAUACUUCUUUUUUUAUCUAUGGAACUUCAUCAGGACCCACUUUAACAAGCAGGAGUCUUACAAGUAUUUUUGUUUAAUUAUUUCUGACGUAUUUUUGUCCUCCCUUCUCUAAAGUAACUAUGCAUUCCUCUCCUUGCCCCAAUAAUCCACCUUAUUCCUAUCAUAACCUUAUUGUCUUAAUUUGCUCUUUGAUUUUCCAGCUAAUAUUGUAAUGAUUAUGAUCAUUUGAGUUUCUUUGAUUAUUACAUUGCUUUGAAUUAUUGCUUAUCUUCUCUCCAUCAAGUAUUUUAAAGGGAUUUGACAAGGGAAGAAGGAAAAAGACCACUGCUGACCAAGAGAAGAAGAAGAGUCCAUUGCCAAGCUUUGUCCAGCAGCCAAUAUCUGAUAAUGGAGCAGAAGAUGAGACUAACCUCAACUUGUUAACAAGACUGGAGAUGAUGGACUAACUACUGUCUAACCUGAAAUCUUUGGUAGGGGUUUAUGCUGGCAUUGAUCCUGUUUCCAAAAGCAGCUCGCCGUGUUUCUGUGAGAG